UACGAGGGAUGCAAGCGUUAUCCGGAAUUAUUGGGCGUAAAGCGUUUGUAGGCGGACGAGUGUGUUUAAUGUUAAAUCUUAAAGCUCAACUUUGAAAUUGCGUUAAAAACUGCUUGUCUUGAGUAUGGUAGGGGUAAAGGGAAUUCCCAGUGUAGCGGUGAAAUGCGUAGAUAUUGGGAAGAACACUAAACAGCGAAGGCACUUUACUAGGCUAAUACUGACGCUGAGAAACGAAAGGUAAGGUAGCGAAACGGAUUAGAUACCCGUGUAGUCUUACCCGUAAACUAUGGACACUAAACGGUAAAUUUUUAAUUUACUGUUAAAGCUAACGCGUUAAGUGUCCCGCCUGGGGAGUAUGCUCGCAAAAGUGAAACUCAAAGGAAUUGACGGGGGCCCGCACAAGCGGUGGAGCAUGUGGUUUAAUUCGACGGUACACGAAGAACCUUACCAGGAUUUGACAUGCUAGAUAGUUGCUUGAAAGAGUAACGUGCCGUAAGGAAUCUAGACACAGGUGGUGCAUGGCUGUCGUCAGUUCGUGUUGUGAAAUGUUGGGUUAAGUCCCGCAACGAACGCAACCCCUGUCUUUAGUUAUUUUCUAAAGAGACUGCCUGUAAUAAACAGGAGGAAGGUAAGGAUGGGGUCAAGUCACCAUGCCCCUUAUGUCCUGGGCUACACACGUGCUACAAUGGGAAAGACAAUGAGCUGCAAAUCUGUAAAUUUAAGCAAAUCUCUUAAACUUUCUCGUAGUUCGGAUUGUGGGCUGCAACUCGCCCACAUGAAGUUGGAAUCGCUAGUAAUCGCCAGUCAGCUAUAUGGCGGUGAAUCCGUUCCCGGGCCU
rnacentral:rRNA from 1 species